AAGUCGUAACAAGGUUUCCGUAGGUGAACCUGCGGAAGGAUCAUUAACACGUGAAAACGUAUUAACCAAUCUACCUUAAACAACCCGUGAAUUUCACCCCUACCUAUUUCUUAGAUACUGUUUAGUGCAAUAUGUAGUAGGAUAUGAUAGGCAACUAUCAUAUGCAAUUGUACUAAUACUAGGGUUUCGAACCCAAGGUGUCUUUUUUAUAGGCUUUUUUCUUUUUUCCCCUACUACAAAAAAACUAAAACAAACCAAUUUCACCUAUUAAACCCUAUUUUGACUGAUGUACGUUGAUAGUAAAGAAAUUUACUGGAUCAACACCAUUUAUCUAAACUAAGCACAACUCUUAGCAAUGGAUAUCUUGGUUCUC
rnacentral:misc_RNA from 1 species